rnacentral:tRNA from 1 species
UAGAGAGGAAGGAUCUGGUGGUCCAACUGGUCUUCAAAACCAGUAACGGGCGGAUAAUACCGUUUGUGGCAGGUUCGAUUCCUGCUCUCUC